UUUCCGUAGGUGAACCUGCGGAAGGAUCAUUACCGAGCGUUUGGCAGCCCUGUUCCAGGGUUGCCUACCUCCCACCCGUGACUACCGUACCUUGUUGCUUCGGCGGGCCGCCGUCAGGCCCCCGGGGCGGGGGAGAAAUCCCCCCCCCUUCCGGGGCAGCGCCCGCCGGAGACACCUUGAAACUCUUUGUGUGAAGAUUGCCUCUGAGUUUGACACAAAAUAGCCAAAACUUUCAACAACGGAUCUCUUGGUUCCG
rnacentral:misc_RNA from 1 species